AUUCGACAAUGGGAAAUUCACUGAAAGAGUUGCUACGUCAAGAAAUGAACUUGGAUGAUUUGAACAAAAAAGUGUGUCAGGCAGAGGUGAAAGCUGCUAAGUUAAAGAAACAGGUUAGAAAACCGAUUAAUUAACGUCUUAUGUGGACUCGGUCAUUGUAGUGAUAAUAAUUAAACAAACAUGCAGGUGAAGGAUGAAAAAGCCGGAAAGGGGGGUCUUUUCAAUGGGGCAUUGCCCCUACACAAGUAAUCGGUAUAAAAUAUUGUAUAUUAAAGAGAGUGCACAAUUGAAGUAUCUGCUUAAUUUUUGAUGCUGAGUUUCUG